rnacentral:tRNA from 1 species
CCCCUGGUAUAGUGGUCAGUAUCCCCGCCUGUCACGCGGGAGACCGGGGUUCAAUUCCCCAUCGGGGA